UAUAGAUAAUAUAUAUAUUUAUAUAUAUAUAUUUACAUAGAUAGAUAUACAUUUUCCUGGGAUGAGAGUCAGAUUGUAUCAGACUCGCAACAGGGUCUGCAAGGCAAAAAAAGGAAAAGAAAAGCCCUAAGAUGAUAAGGCAGGACAUGAGUAUGUUGUUUUCCUCAAACAGGAGUUAAUCAUCUUAUUCCAUCUUGCCCCACCAUUCAAUCCAAGCCUAGUCAUUUCCGAGAAAGUCAGCCUUGUCAGCUGAGAAAUGUGUAAGUACAGCCGCGGGGGAAAGGAGAGCAGGGAGCUAUUUGCUAUUUGCAGAGGCCUAAGGACACAGGUUUUCCAGACAUCUUGGUUUACAUUCCCAGAUGUAAGCCAUCUUGAAGCAAAGGCAGUUUUAGGCUGGGUUUGUCCCCAAGGCAAAUGCAUUCCAGUGGACUCACCACCAAAGGGAAAUCCAUGAAAGAAACUUACCAGAAGUGACAUUGAACAGGCAGAGCGGCCUGCUCCACUCACAACAACUAGGAGCAGGAGGUGGGGAGAUGCUCGUCAGAGCGACCUGCGUGGACGCGGCAGAAACAGGAAGAGGCUUUGCGCAGGUGCAGGAUCCUUCAGCAGCGAGCCAGUGCGGAAAUGGACUCCUGACUCAGGAGACAGUGACCUUCAAAAUGACCGUCUCCACAAGUGGCCCCGUCUACAAGGAUUGCCUCACCUCUGCCAGGGCCAUGGGCAUGGGAGCCAGGUCAGCCUAUCCCUUGGUCCCAGGCAUAGACACAUUUCACAAAGAGGUCAGUGAAAGGCUUCCCAAAGACCUGACAUAUGGAUGUGGACAUCAUCUCUUUUUUCUCUCUCUUCUUCUGGCGUGAAAGCUUUAAGGACCAUCCACAGGGGUCUGGAGCUUCCAUGGUACCUGUGCGAGCCCCAUGGAAGAAACUUUAUGCGGAAUGGGACCAAGCUGGGACAGCAGCCUGGGAGAAAGAGAUAGAGAGAGAGAAGAUCUAGAAUAUUCUUUGAAAACUGGAUCCAGCUGUGCCAGAGCUAGAAUUCUUAAUGUUGUGAACCAACUAAUUUCCUUGGACUUGGUUGAAUCUCAGGCACUUGCCAUGAGUGAGUCGCACUAACAUAUUUGUUUCUAGGAAGAACGCAUUGAUCAAGGUUUGUGUCACAAGUGUCCACAGCAUAUGUAAUAUGGGAUUUGACCUCAUAAUUGCCAUUAUAAACAUCAGUGCUUCAAAGUCUCCUGAUGCCAAAAAUUUUAUUUCUUUUUGUGACUUUCUUCUUAUUCCUCAUCAAAGAGCACCUUUCUUCUGCUUCAAGUUUAUACUUCUACAUUCUACGGAGGAGCUCCUGGUGGAGAGAAAGAUUUAAUGAUUAAUUGAUACUGAAUAUAGAUUUGUUUUCAUUUCGAAGUUCAUUGAAAUAAAAAGUACGUCCUGUAACUAACUCUAAGGGAA
rnacentral:lncRNA from 1 species